UACGUACUCCCUCCGUCCCAAAAUUCUUGUCUUAGAUUAGUAUGUAGUACAUCCGUAUCUAGACUAAUCUAAGACAAGAAUUUUGGGACGGAGGGAGUAUAUC
rfam:Triticum aestivum genome assembly, contig: Triticum_aestivum_CS42_TGACv1_scaffold_290337_4AL